rnacentral:rRNA from 1 species
GACGAACGCUGGCGGCGUGCUUAACACAUGCAAGUCGAACGAGAGCGUAGAGAGAGCUUGCUUUUUCUACAAUCUAGUGGCGAACGGGUGAGUAACGCGUAAACAACCUGCCCUACGGAUGGGGACAAGAGCGGGAACCGGCGGCUAAUACCGAAUCCGUUCAGAAAGUCGCACGACUAUCGGUAGAAAGGAUGGCGUCUAUAUAUGAGGUAUCGCCGGUGGAGGGGUGGGCGGCUGAUGAGCUAGUUGGGGGGGUAACGGCCCACCAAGGCGACGAUCAGGAGCCGGUCUGGGAGGAUGGACCGCCCCCUCUGGACUGAGACCCGGGCCCGGCCUCUUCCGGAGGCCGCAGGUGGGGAUCUUUCGAAAUGGGCGGAAGCCUUACUGCGCCACGCCGCGUGAGUGAAGGCGGGCCUUGGGUUUGUAAGCUCCUUUUUUCGGGACAAAUAAUCUUGUGGUUAAUACCCCUGUGAAGUGACGGUACCGUAAGAGAAAGCCACGGCUAACUACGUG